rnacentral:rRNA from 1 species
CCGGGACGGACGAACCUCUGGUGUGCCAGUUGUCCCGCCCGGGGCACGGCUGGUUGGCUACGUUCGGACGGGAUAACCGCUGAAAGCAUCUAAGCGGGAAGCCUUCCUUAAGAUGAGGUCUCCCCCCCGAUCUUCGGGUCGGGUUAAGGCCCCCAGCAGACCACUGGGUGGAUAGGCCGGACAUGCACGCACAGCAAUGUGCUCAGUGGACCGGUACUAAUCGGCCGAGCGACUUGAACACCACACCUC